GACGAACGCUGGCGGCGUGCCUAAUACAUGCAAGUAGAACGCACAGUUUAUACUGUCGCUUGCGACACCAUAGACUGUGAGUUGCGAACGGGUGAGAAACGCGUAGUUAACCUGCCUGGUACCGGGGGAUAACUAUUGGAAACGAGAGCUAAUAGCGCAUAGUAUUGAUUAUUGCAUGAUAAUUGAUUGAAAGAUGCUAUUGCAUCACCACCAGAUGGAGCUGCGUUGGAUUAGCUAGUAGGAGAGGUAAAGGCGCACCUAGGCGACGAUACAUAGCCGACCUGAGACGGUGGUCGGCCACACUGGGACUGAGACACGGCACAGAGUCCUACGGGCGGCAGCAGGAGGGCAUCUUCGGGAAUGGACGAAAGUCAGAGCGAGAAACGCCGCGGGAGUGAAGAAGGUUUUCGGAUCGUAAAGCUCGGUUGUAAGAGAAGAACGGGUGUGAGAGUGGAAAGUUCACACUGUGACGGUACCUUCACAGAAAGGGACGGCUAACUACGUG
rnacentral:rRNA from 1 species